GCCUGGAUUGCUCAGUUGGCUAGAGCGUGGUGCUGAUAACACCAAGGUUGCAAGUUCAGUCCCUGUAUAUUCCUGCAUUAGAUG